AAAGGCCCUUUCGGGGGUACUCGAGCGGCGAACGGGUGAGUAACACGUGAGUAAUCUGCCCUGCGCUCUGGGAUAGCCACCGGAAACGGUGAUUAAUACCGGAUAGGACCACUUCACGCAUGUGAUGGUGGUGGAAAGUUUUUUCGGCGCAGGAUGUGCUCGCGGCCUAUCAGCUUGUUGGUGAGGUAACGGCUCACCAAGGCUUUGACGGGUAACCGGCCUGAGAGGGUGACCGGUCACACUGGGACUGAGACACGGCCCAGACUCCUACGGGAGGCAGCAGUGGGGAAUAUUGGACAAUGGGCGGAAGCCUGAUCCAGCAACGCCGCGUGAGGGAUGACGGCCUUCGGGUUGUAAACCUCUUUCAGUACCGACGAAGCGAAAGUGACGGUAGGUACAGAAGAAGGACCGGCCAACUACGUGCCAGCAGCCGCGGUAAUACGUAGGGUCCGAGCGUUGUCCGGAAUUAUUGGGCGUAAAGGGCUCGUAGGCGGUUUGUCGCGUCGGGAGUGAAAACACCGGGCUUAACUCGGUGCUUGCUUUCGAUACGGGCAGACUAGAGGUAUGCAGGGGAGAAUGGAAUUCCUGGUGUAGCGGUGAAAUGCGCAGAUAUCAGGAGGACACCGGUGGCGAAGGCGGUUCUCUGGGCAUUACUGACGCUGAGGAACGACAGUGUGGGGAGCG
rnacentral:rRNA from 1 species